rnacentral:rRNA from 1 species
UACAGAGACCUCAAGCGUUAUCCGGAAUCAUUGGGCGUAAAGCGUACCGAUAGGUGGUUUUACAAGUCAGAAGUGAAAUCUCUCAGCUUAACUGGGAGACUGUCUUUUGAAACUGUAAAACUAGAGGAACAAAGAGGAAGCUGGAACGAACGGUGUAGUAGUGAAAUGCGUUGAUAUCGUUCGGAACACCAAUAGCGUAGGCAGGCUUCUGGGUGUUUCCUGACACUGCUAGGACGAAAGCGUGG